rnacentral:misc_RNA from 1 species
GAUGAAGAACGCAGCGAAACGCGAUAAGUAAUGUGAAUUGCAGAAUUCAGUGAAUCAUCGAAUCUUUGAACGCACAUUGCGCCCGCUGGUAUUCCGGCGGGCAUGCCUGUUCGAGCGUCAUUUCAACCCUCAAGCCCCCGGGUUUGGUGUUGGGGAUCGGCUCUGCCCUUCUGGGCGGUGCCGCCCCCGAAAUACAUUGGCGGUCUCGCUGCAGCCUCCAUUGCGUAGUAGCUAACACCUCGCAACUGGAACGCGGCGCGGCCAUGCCGUAAAACCCCAACUUCUGAAUGUUGACCUCGGAUCAGGUAGGAAUACCCGCUGAACUUAAGCAUAUCAAUAAGCGGAGGA